rnacentral:tRNA from 1 species
GGUAUGUUGGAAUGGCAGACAAAGUCGUUUUAGGUACGGCGGAUAGAAAUAUCAUACACGUUCAAGUCGUGUUACCUGUA